rnacentral:rRNA from 1 species
UACGAAGGGGGCGAGCGUUGUUCGGAUUUACUGGGCGUAAAGGGCGCGCAGGCGGCUCAUUUUGUCAGGCGUGAAAGCCCCGGGCUUAACCUGGGAGGUGCGUUUGAUACGGAUGGGCUAGAGUUCGGGAGAGGAGAGUGGAAUUCCCAGUGUAGAGGUGAAAUUCGAUAGAUAUUGGGAAGAACACCGGUGGCGAAGGCGGCUCUCUGGACCGAGACUGACGCUGAGGCGCGAAAGCGUGGGGAGCAACAGG